rnacentral:rRNA from 1 species
CUCCUGUCAGCAGGGAAAAAGCAACUCAACCUCAUACGUUGAGAAGUUGAUUGUACCUGCAGAGGAAGCCCCGGCUAACUCUGUGC